rnacentral:lncRNA from 1 species
AAUUAAACCAAUUAAACUAAGGAAGCAAUUAAAAUAAAGGAGAAUUCAAUAAGAUAAGAAUUACCAAGGUUUCAGAAUCCACCACUAUUCAACUAGUAAUUAUCUAAUUAUUAAUUAAUCCUCAAUUUUAGAGUGACAACUCGAAAUCAAUCUAUGUCAUCUCAUGGAUAUAACAAUUAAGCCCAAGUAAUUAAAUCUAAUGUAGGUUCUUUUUCUGCUUAAUAAUAUGACAUCUAAGAAUCUCAUGUAAACAUAUUGAAUAACAAAGAGUCAAAGUUUCCUAAGCACUCCAUGUAAACAAUUUAAUGAAAGACAUAAAAUCAAAGAUAAUCAUGUAUAAACUUUAUAGAUCCAAGCAUAGAAUUAAUCGAAUAUUAAUCUUAACAAUCAAUAAUGCAUGACAGAAUUGAUGAAAAGAUUUUAUUAACAUUCAAUUAAUCAUGUGAAAUAAAAACCAUAAUCAUUAAAGAACAUAUAUGGGAAUUAAAUAAAUAAAUAAAAUAAUUAUUUCAUUGAAUAGGGUUUCAUCUUUAACCUCAGUAUAAGAAAAUUAGCUGGACAUACUUAAAUUGGGAGCAACAAAAAAAAUAAAAUCAGCCAUGGGAAGCCGAAAUAUUGCUGCUGCAACUGGUCUCUUCCAACCUUUUUCUCCUCCUCUGGCGGCCACCCUCAUUCAAAAGCCAAAACUCUCUUUUAUAAUGCUUAGCCACCGAAUCCUCUUUGUCUACUAAUUAAAAUCCUUUUCCAAUUAUGAAACAAAGCUUCCAUAAUAACGCCAGCCAUUAAUUCCACUUUUGAAAGUCAAGUGUGGGCCCCAUUUAAAUUGCUUUCCCCUUUUGCAAUGCUAUGAACGUGCAACUCAAUUGGAGAAUUGAAAUUCUUUUUCAAUGCAAAUUGCUCUUGGCUCUUAACUCUAUCACAGCUUCAACUAAUAUUUCCCCAAAUUAUUAUUCUUUUUGCACUUUUUAUUUCCAAUCUCCAAUUAAUUUCCUAUUCAAUAAAACAAUUCAAUUAAUUAAAAAUAACAAAUAAAAUUAACUAGCAAAUAUACAAUAAAGGAUAAAAUAUGUAUAUAAAUUAUGCCAUCAUCUCUCUACAAUAAAAAAUCAAAUAGAAUCUCUUAAAUCCGCUUUGUAAUUGGCGUAAUUCGGAUAUCUAGGACCGCAUAUAUUUAUAAAAAUAUGAAAAAUUCAACAUCCACAACAUACACAGGAGGAUUGGAACCCUAAAGUACUUGCGGAACGGAAUUUAAUUUACCACUAAACUAUUGAGAGGUUCUUAUACUUCAUUACUUGUGUGAUCUCUAAACGUUAAUAUUAAUCACCACUUGCAUGUGUGAUUCCAACAAAAAAUUUAAAACGGUAAUGUAUAUUCUCCUCAGCUUCAGAAUUAUAAUUCCUAAUUGUCAUAUUUUCGCACAAAGACUGUCAUGUAGGUCCCAACUAAGUGUACAUUGCAAAGAAAAUAAAUACAGGCAGACCGCAACCAUGUCCAUGUCAUUGUCCUUUCAAAGAAGGAAAAACGUAUGCUUGCGGAGUGUAGUUCUCAAGAGAAAGCCGACUUACUAAUACUGUUGCCCACUUAAAUAAGAGUGAGGCAAUGCUGAAGCUCCAACCAAUAAUAUUAUUGGUUUGACAAACAAUUCAUGAGAUCAUAAUUUUUUUAAAACUAUGAACAUUAUUCUUUCAUAUACUAUUUUUUUAGUAUUUUCUCUCAAUUUAUCAUUUCUUAGAAUGACUAUUUUUAUUUCUUUAUUUUCUUUUGAAAGUGUCAUUCUUACUCGUGAGGUUUUGGAGUUUGGCAUGCCAUUCUUAAAAGUGACUUAAUUAAUGUAGCUUUUAUAAUUAAUCAUUUUGUAUGAAUUGACUUGACUAAUUUAUGUGAAUGGUUAAUGUGGGAGUGACUUUUCAAAGCUGAGAUAAUUAGCACUUAUACUUUUAUUUGAUUAUUGUCAUUAAUCUGAUUGAAGAAGUAAACACAAUUGCCUUUAAAAAAAUAUUUCAAUUUGACUUUUGCUGGAUAUUAUCGCUUAGUUUACUAUAAACAAAUAAUAAGCUGAUUGGAAGGUGUGUUGAGUGCUAGAGAAUUGGUAGUAUCGUUAGGGUGCACCAAAUUUAAAGCCUUGCUACUAGUAUAAAUAAUUAGUACAGAACGAGUAAGGAUCGAUCCCACAAAGACUAUGCUAGUUAUAUUUAUUAUCAACUCUCAAGCAAGACUUAAAAUAAAAUAAUAAUAGAAAUAAUUAAUAUAAAUUAAUCUAACUAAAGAAAAUGCCAAUUAUAAAUAAAAGGGGAGUUUUUGAAUUUUUAACUAAAUAGAAAGAAAUAAAGAAAUUAAACUAUGAAAACAAAAAUUUAAUAAAAACUCUAAUUAAAGGAGAAAGAAAUAAUAAUUAUGGAAAACUUUGGUUAAAAGAUCAUUCACCACCACCAAACAUGCGCAUAAUAUAUCAAUUCUAUCAUCAAUUUAUAUUGAAACUAUCAACUAUAGGCAACAAUAAACUAUGUUAGUCUCAAUCUUUCCUUAGUGUGUCGUUAGGCGAAACAAGCUCUUCACCUAAUCUCUAACCAUUAAAUAAUUUAAAACAAGCUCUUUAAAUUUAAGAUAAUGGAAGCAUUAAACAUAGAAAGAUAUUAGAUUGAUAUAGGCAAUGAACGCAUAAGCUCGGAUUAUUUAACCUAGGUUAUAUUCUCCAAUUGAAAUCAUUGGUUCCAACCUGCUACUUAUGAUUAAAAUCUCAAGACAAUUACGGAUCAAGAAUUUUAAUCUAACAAUAGAAUUUAUUCAAAUCCUAUCUAAUUGGCCACUUAAACAAGACGAGAAUAAAAUCAUAAACAUUAAUUAUAGAAGAAUAUAAACAAUCUCAAUUAAAUAAAUUGAAUGAUAGAAUUUAAAUUUAAUUGCAUAGCAUGUUUAGGGUUUUGAAUUCACCCUCAACCAAAUAGAAAAUCUAGCCUAACAUAAUUAAAUUGGGAAUAAAAAAGUUAAUAAAACCAGACAUAGAGAUUAAUUCAAACGGCUACCUCCUCUAUUUUUUUAUUCUCCUUUGCGGCAGCAAAUUCUUUUGUAUGCGUGGCCGCCGAAUAAAAAAUCCCCCCCCCCUGUGUUGCUUCCGCUUGGCCCUUAUAUAAUGCUUCAAUUGUGGCUUUAAAAUCCUUGCAUGGAAAGAAUUAAAUCCAAGCCAAAACCGCCACUUUCAUAAAGUGCUUGCCAUUUAAAUUGUCAUGCAAAAUAUUUGCUUCCUUUUUCGUCUUCAUUCACAAACACUUUUGAUUGGCCAUGCUUAAGGCCAAAAGGUUUUUUUUUUUUUUUCUUUUCUUCCUCUCACGUGCUUGAUGGCAAUCUCCUUUUUCCAAUUUUAGCUCCAUGCGAUGGCUUCGCUUGUAAUUGGCUUGGCUUCCCUUUUUACUUCCAUUUUCCAAUUUUAGCUCCAUGUGCAAAAUUAAUUUUGCUUGGCCCGUGCAACUUUAAUUGGAAAAUAUUCUUUAUUUCUCCAAUUCUUGAUCUCUUGUGCACUUUUGUCUCCCAAUCUUUAAUUCUUUUCCUAUUCUAAUUCUCUCAAUCAGAUUUCUUUUAUGAAUGCUCCGAUUUAAUUUCUCUUUAAUCCUAGAAAAUACCUAAAAUAAUAGAAUAAAAAAAUUAAGAUAAAAAUUAGCACAAUAAAAAUAUAAUUUACUAAAUUAAAAAUUAACUAAAAUAACUAGAAUAUUUAAGACCAAAACAAGAAAAAACAUGGAGAAAUUAAUAGCAAAAUAUAUGAAAAAUAAGCACUUAUCAAGAAUAUCUAUCUAUAAAGGAUAAAAUCAUCAUUUUGCACUCCAAGUCUCACUAACAUUUUUGCUUUUAUGUAUUUAAGUCCUUUAAAAUUUGAUUGUGCAUUUUUUGUUAUUAUUUGAGUAUUCUAUGUAUUUCAAGGGUAUUAUGAUCAUUUAGCAAUUAACGAAAAAUCCAACAGAAAAAAAGAUAGCAUUUUUUAGCUCAAAAUAAUUGAAAAUCUCAGGAAGGGCAUAAAACAUAAAAUUGUAAUUUUAGGAUUUUGGUGGGCACUUAGCUGGUAUGGCAUUGGCCGAUGACGUGGAAUUGACUAAUACAUGGCAAUUACUUAUUGGAUUGAAAUGCUGACGUGGCAUUGACCAAUAUGCCACAACAUGUUAUUGGAACAAAAAUGCGUGUAUGAUAUAUGCAAUUCACUAAAUCACAACUUUGAUGACGUGUUCCAACUAAUCAGAGCUUGCCAUGUAGUGCAAUCCUGACCAUCUAAAUUGUUUUUGUUCGAUGGUCAUGAUUUACCCAUUAUAUCUAUAAAUAGGGGAUUUCCCCUUGUUUAUUAUGAGUGACUAAUUUAAUUUGAGGUUCAUUUUGUGUAAUUCUUACUCUAUCCUGUAUUUUCCAAGUAUUUUUAAUAAAAUUAUCAUUUUGGCCCCUAGUUCAAUUAUGGGUGGCCAAUGUAAUUUCAAUAUUGGGUUGAAAGUGAAGCUUCAACAUGGUCCAUAGGCUUAAUUUGGUAAGUUUAUUAACUUUCUCUUUGAUUUAUGUUAAUUGUUUUGACUCAUCGUUGACAAAUUGUAAUAACCUUAUCUAGAUUUUGCACGACAUACCGGCUCCCUAGUGCAAGAUUAUUACUGUUUGGCAUGAUGAGUACUUUACAUUAUAUUUAUUAGUAAGAAACACUUCUCUACUAUUAGUGGCUCAUCUUGACUCCGUGUUGACAGAGAAUGAAUCUAAGUUAUUUAGUGAAUAGUCUUACUACAUUGUCAACAAUAGGAUUAUUAUCACCUGGCACAAUGUGUACUUAAUACCACAUUCAGUAGAAGAUUAUUUUCCUCUAAUACAAUGAGUGAUUUAUACCAUAUUUACUAGAAUGAGGACUAUAAGAAGUGGAAAUACUCUCUCAUAAAUUAAUUCGAACUAAAAAUGAAUAUUAAGCCUAUGGUGAAAUGUUAAGUAAGAAUCCAGAAAAUCAAAUGUUUCAUUUGAAUUGUUUCAUCCUUAAUUUAUUCUUGCCAUCUUUUUUUAAUUUAAAUCUCAGUACUACUAAGAAAUCACAUCCAACUUACAUAUAAACUUGAAAAAUUAAUCUUACACAUAAUUAAAUCUACUUCCUAAUUGGAAAGACACUUAUCACCAUUAAUCUAUACUACAAUAGAUUAUGCACUUGAGAGUACAAUAAAAUUUACACAAUAAUUACCCAUCUCUAUAACUUAUGAUAAUAUAAUGGUAGACUGUUAUUAUUCUUAUCUUUCAAUCUUCUUCAAGUUAACAUUAUUUUACUUUAUAAUUUUUAAUGAAUAUU